AUGGGAUUAGUAGAUGCUGACAAGCUUUGUGUUACUCUUUUUAACCUGGAGAAGUCUCUACUCUUAGGGUACAUUUUCAUCUUGACAGCACUAGGCAGCAGGAAGCUUUUAUUUUUAUUUUUAUUUUUAUUUUUUUAUAUUUUUUUUUUUGGCGGAUUCACACCUCAGAUUAGACCUGGAGACCUGGAUAUAUUUUUAACACGUGUGUUGCUCGUGUAUAUUUUAACUUUGGCUUACAUAUGUAGGGUACACGUUAUAGUGGGAACAGAGUGGUGCAAGCCUUUUCACCAAGGUGACCUCAAUGUCAGGCAGCACGAAGGGACAGCAAGCACAGGCCACCCACCCCAUCCCUCAGACACGUUGGUGCCCUCCCUGCACUAUGCUAAGCCUCUGCUGAGCCAGGGCCAGUUCCUGCACCUGGCUCACAUGCUGCCCUCUGCCCAAGGGAGAUCCUGGGGAGCUGGCUGCGAGCAUCCUGGGUGCGAAUGGAAUGCCUUGAUCGGGAGGAAGGGUUUCCUUCCUGGAAAAUGUACUGCAGGGAAGGACAGAGGUUUUGUGCAGCUGUCACCUCCUGAUCUGAAGCUGCACAAAUAUGCUGGAUCUGCUUCACUGCCUGGAAGGCGUAUUCCCCCUCUGCUUGCCCAACUUGUUUGCUUACCAGUGAUGGAGAGGAAUUCACAAGGAGCUGCUGACAGGAUAGUGAAAAGUUUGGGAUAUGAAAGACACUACUCUGAAUAUCAUCAAAUGGUUACUGUGUUGGAGGAGCUGCACCCUCCUAAUAUAAAGAAACAAGCAGCCCCAGAUCAUUAGUCUGCCUGAAGGAGGUAUGUGUGGAAAGAAUUAAGUAAAGCUGUUUGAUUUUUGGCUGGUGGGAGGUUUGGGGUGGAUUCCAGAAUGAAGUAGAUGAGACACACGAAGCUUUAGAAACCCACUCCAUAGAUGGAGAUUGCAAGCCACAUACUAAUUGCCUGCCCACACAGCACCAGUGGCAAAGCAGAAACGUGGGUGCUGUGAGUGGGGGUGGCUGUGAAUACUGAGGAUGAGAGAUCUUCCCCAGGCUCUUCUGCACACUGUCAAGAAGUGGUCUAAGCUGAGAUGGUCUGGGGGGCAGGUGAAAAGAACAGGCUGCAUUUAACAUCUUCUUUAAUGCUGAAAGUAUCUCAUGAAAAGAGGUUCUGUAGACUAAUGUGCUAGUGCCACAAAGAAUUUCUAUGAAUUUAACCAGACAAUAUAAGAUGAGUGAAUGCAAACUUGUU
rnacentral:lncRNA from 1 species